GAUGAACGCUGGCGGCGUGCCUAAUACAUGCAAGUCGAGCGAACAGACGAGGAGCUUGCUCCUCUGACGUUAGCGGCGGACGGGUGAGUAACACGUGGAUAACCUACCUAUAAGACUGGGAUAACUUCGGGAAACCGGAGCUAAUACCGGAUAAUAUAUUGAACCGCAUGGUUCAAUAGUUAAAGACGGUUUUGCUGUCACUUAUAGAUGGAUCCGGGCCGGCUUAGCUAGUUGGUAAGGUAACGGCUUACCAAGGCGACGAUGCGUAGCCGACCUGAGAGGGUGAUCGGCCACACUGGAACUGAGACACGGUCCAGACUCCUACGGGAGGCAGCAGUAGGGAAUCUUCCGCAAUGGGCGAAAGCCUGACGGAGCAACGCCGCGUGAGUGAUGAAGGUCUUCGGAUCGUAAAACUCUGUUAUUAGGGAAGAACAAAUGUGUAAGUAACUAUGCACGUCUUGACGGUACCUAAUCAGAAAGCCACGGCUAACUACGUG
rnacentral:rRNA from 1 species